GGGACAGUUAUAGUGGUGAGUUGUAUCUCCAGACAGAGGAACAGUUAUAGUGGUGAGUUGUAUCUCCAGAGGAACAGUUAUAGUGGUGAGUUGUAUCUCCAGACAGAGGGUAAGUUAUAGUGGUGAGUUGUAUCUCUAGACAGAGGAACAGUUAUAGUGGUGAGCUGUAUCUCCAGAGGAACAGUUAUAGUGGUGAGUUGUAUCUCCAGACAGAGGAACAGUUAUAGUGGUGAGUUGUAUCUCCAGACAGAGGUACAGUUAUAGUGGUGAGUUGUAUCUCCUGAGGAACAGUUAUAGUGGUGAGUUGUAUCUCCAGACAGAGGUACAGUUAUAGUGGUGAGUUGUAUCUCCAGACAGAGGAACAGUUAUAGUGGUGAGUUGUAUCUCCAGAGGAACAGUCAUAGUGGUGAGUUGUAUCCCCAGAGGAACAGUUAUAGUGGUGAGUUGUAUCUCCAGAGGAACAGUUAUAGUGGUGAGUUGUAUCUCCAGAGGAACAGUUAUAGUGGUGAGUUGUAUCUCCAGACAGAGGGACAGUUAUAGUGGUGAGUUGUAUCUCCAGACAUAGGAACAGUUAUAGUGGUGAGUUGUAUCUCCAGAGGAACAGUUCUAGUGGUGAGUUGUAUCGCCAGAGGAACAGUUAUAGUGGUGAGUUGUAUCGCCAGAGGAACAGUUAUAGUGGUGAGUUGUAUCCCCAGACAGAGGUACAGUCAUAGUGGUGAGUUGUAUCUCCAGAGGAACAGUUCUAGUGGUGAGUUGUAUCUCCAGAGGAACAGUUCUAGUGGUGAGUUGUAUCGCCAGAGGAACAGUUAUAGUGGUGAG
ensembl:lncRNA